ACCAAAUUGACGCUUAAGGUUAGAUGAUCCUAACUGUCGGAAUUUAUCAUUUCAUAAAUUUCCAUCAGAUCAAGUAUUUUACAAGAAAUGGUGUGAUGUUAUCACAAAUAAUUUUAAGACGUGGACUCCAAUAAAAAGUUUAUAUGUUUGUGGUUUACACUUUUCUACUGACUGUUUUCAAUAUUCUGGCUUAUGCACAAAACGAAUGUUGAAAAAAGGUUCUAUUCCUGCAAUAUUUUUCGAUGAUACUUGUAACACAGAUAAAGAUGAUCAAAAUCUGCAUGAAUCAAAUUGCAUGAAAGAUAGUUAUGCUAUUGGAAAUG